AGCCUCCCUCUGUGGGGUGAUCGAUCUGGGGACCCCACCAUUGAUUGCCCCACAGAGGGAGGCC
rnacentral:pre_miRNA from 1 species